rnacentral:misc_RNA from 1 species
CCCCCUCGUAACUCAAGUAACCAUUAAUAAACAUUAAGCACAAUUCCAUACCAAUUCAUUACAAACUCAGAUCAGAUGGUAGGUCUCAGCUUUUAUAAUUCAUACAUGUUAACCAUACCUAAACCUUUUUCAUUUUGUCACAAAAAUCUUCAAGGUAGUCUCCACAAUGCCUCCAUCAGCAUGUUUAAUAUUUUAACUUCUGCACCUCUUUUCACUGUGAAACCACUGAUUUAAGAUUUUUUCUUCCAUAAAACAAAGUCACCAAUCUGUUUUACUUCAGCUUCAAGAAUAAGGACUCAAAAAUAGAUUAUCCUGUGAUGUAGAUCAUGAAGAUGAACGGAAACUAGUAGCUACAAUUUAGCAAAAUUUAUUCUGAAAGUCCUCAAGCAGUUCAAAGUUCAAACCUAGAUCACAGGGCAAAUGCCUACUCCAACCUCCAAAAUACAGACUGUUCGACUUAGUCUAUGUCCUCUGAAGACAUAACCUAAACUAGACAUUUAAAAACUCAAAACAUUGCACCAUAUAAUUGAGAGAGAGAGAGAAAGAGAGAGAGAGAG